rnacentral:lncRNA from 10 species
GCCUCUAUACGAUUCCAGGUGUUCUAUAUGAUUCCAGGUGUGAUAUACUGCACGGGGACCAGCCUCUAUACGAUUCCAGGUGUUCUAUAUGAUUCCAGGUGUGAUAUACUGCACGGGGACCAGCCUCUAUACGAUUCCAGGUGUUCUAUAUGAUUCCAGGUGUGAUAUACUGCACCGGGACCAGCCUCUAUAUGAUUCCAGGUGUUCUAUAUGAUUCCAGGUGUGAUAUACUGCAUGGGGACCAGCCUCUAUACAAUUCCAGGUGUUCUAUAUGAUUCCAGGUGUGAUAUACUGCACCGGGACCAGCCUCUAUAUGAUUCCAGGUGUUCUAUAUGAUUCCAGGUGUGAUAUACUGCACCGGGACCAGCCUCUAUACGAUUCCAGGUGUUCUAUAUGAUUCCAGGCUGUGAUGCCACAAAGCAAAUGAAGAGGCGAGAAGGCGACAGGGCUUGGAGCCGGAACCUCAGCUUGAUGCCCAGAUCUGUGGAGCAGCCCUGUCCCCAGUCAUCCAGACUCACUGCACGUCAUUUUGGAGGGCGCCUUCCUUUCCGGAUUCCAACCUCUGCGGCGCUGGCCUCAGGCUCCAGGUCCCGGCUGCUGGGGCUGCUCCUGUGGGGCCGAUUCUGGCAGGACUGAGCCCAC